rnacentral:sRNA from 1 species
UUCAUUCCGCAAGCCCAGCCCCAGGUCUCUGAGUGCCACCCUGGAGGUGUUAAACAAAGAAGGCCAGGCAAAGUCCCAUCUCCCUCAGGGCCUAGGCUUGAGAUCACAGCAGGAGGAGCCAAGGAGACUCACGAUUACCCUCCUGAGUCCCUUCAGUCACUCACAAGUGGCAAUGCUGGGCAAGCUGAGUAAAAGAAAACCCAUCUGCAGACCAGAGUCAGCCACCUUCCCAUCUGUGUCAGGGAAGUAUUCCUGCAGGCCUGGCGCUGGCCUCCGCCCCAGGGACGCUGGGCUGAGGCGUUGGGUCUCCCACCAGGGCCUGGAAGACCUCUGGGCGUGUGGGAGGAGGGGUCGCAUUGCAAAAUUGCAGAGUCCCCUCCCCGCCGCCCUCCAAUGUGCUACCAUCAGCGUGGCAACCAGAGGUCUACACUCUCAGGGCAAUUGCUGGCUGCCUCCUCCAGGGUCUCUUUCCAGUUUCAUGUGACAUCUGGGACCCCUGGGAUCUUCACCCCUACCAAGGAGCACUGAAGUUUAUACACUGCCCUGGGACUUGGGGGUGAUGUGAUGUGUGGGAAGCUUCAGGCCACAGGUGGGGCCAGGAGGAAUGAGACAUGGUGACCAAGCAGGGGGUACUCCCAGCUAUCACCCUGUCCCAUUCUGAAGGAGCAUCUGUUCAGGCAAGGCAAGCAGAGGGCCACUAGCAGCCAGGCCCCUGACCUUCCUCUGGUGGCUUUGGGAACAUUCCUAACUAGGCACCACAGCUGGCAGACCAGGAGUGGGAAUGGCAGGGCCACCUGCAGCUGUGAUUGGGUGGCUGUGUGCGAAUUGAGCACAUCAGUCCUCCACACAAGGCCCAGACUGUGUGGGCACCUGCUGCAGGAACUCCUGCCUCUUGGCCUGUGUCCUGAGCUUUGGGUGUGCGGCCAAGCUUGGGAUGGGGUUAGGUGAAGCCUCACCUCUCUACCUGACUCUCUUCUGUCCUCCAGUGCCACCGCAUCCACCGGUCACUCGCCAGCCAGUUCAAGUACGCCCUGGUGUGGGGCACCAGCACCAAGUACAGUCCGCAGCGGGUGGGCCUGACCCACACCAUGGAGCACGAGGAUGUCAUCCAGAUCGUGAAGAAGUAACGGCGCCUGCUGGGCCUCCCACCCACCUGCCUCGUCUCCCUGGGGAGGUGGUCCCGCUGGGACACACAAACACCCAAACAGAAAAAUACGAAUACACGUACCCCAGGAAGGGGUCCCUCAAGUCUCUGCUAUUUACAGAAGUUUCUUCAGUAGGCAGACGAAGAGUGUGUUGGGGCAGAGGAGCUCAGCUGGAGGUAUUUCCCAUAAGACUGAGCCCUCUCAUGGGGGUUUUGAGUUUGUAGUGCUGAGCCUGCAUCUGUGCCCCGCAGCCCCCUGCACUGAGGGAGCAAGUUGCCCACCUGCCCGCCAGCCAGGGCCUAAAGUAGAUGGCAUGCUCAGUGCCAGGCUGGUAGCUGGGCCUGUUUGGGUCCCUGGAGGCGGUGGCUGCUGUCACGGCACCUCACUCCCUCAGCUCCUGCCAGCUUCUCUGACACUUGGGUUGGGGGCCCUUCCAGGAAGAAACCCCCUUGGGUGCCCCACACAGGGCUCUCCAUGAUGGGAACCAGCGGUUAGUGGCUUCAAAGGCCCAGCUGACACCCUCCACAGCCUAAGGGGUGUCCUAAAGUGCCUCCCCCUGUAUUCCCCCUCCCAGGGCAGCCCCUGCCCAGCACAAAACCCCAGGACCCUGGCUCUGCAUGCCUGGGGCAGGGACUUUUGAGUGCAGGAUCUGUAUUUUCUAAGUCCCCAGUUCUCCUGGCUCUCCUUUCUGAAAUAAAGGAUUGAAAACGG